rnacentral:rRNA from 1 species
GAUGAAUGCUGGCGGCGUGCCUAACACAUGCAAGUCGAGCGGCAGCGCGAGUAGUUUACUACUUGGCGGCGAGCGGCGGACGGCUGAGUAACGCGUGGGAACGUGCCCCAAAGUGAGGGAUAACGCACCGAAAGGUGUGCUAAUACCGCAUAUGAUCUUCGGAUUAAAGAAUUUAUUCGCUUUGGGAGCGGCCCGCGUCGGAUUAGGUAGUUGGUAGGGUGAUGGCCUACCAAGCCGACGAUCCGUAGCUGGUCUGAGAGGAUGACCAGCCAGACUGGAACUGAGACACGGUCCAGACUCCUACGGGAGGCAGCAGUGAGGAAUCUUCCACAAUGGGCGAAAGCCUGAUGGAGCAACGCCGCGUGCAGGAUGAAGGCCUCCGGGUUGUAAACUGCUUUUAUAAGUGAAGAAUAUGACGGUAACUUAUGAAUAAGCACCGGCUAACUACGUGCCAGCAGCCGCGGUAA